UAAUACGGAGGAUCCAAGCGUUAUCCGGAUUUAUUGGGUUUAAAGGGUGCGUAGGCGGUUUAUUAAGUCAGUGGUGAAAGCCCGGAGCUCAACUUCGGAACUGCCAUUGAUACUGAUAGACUUGAGUACAGAUGAAGUGGGCGGAAUGUGACAAGUAGCGGUGAAAUGCUUAGAUAUGUCACAGAACACCGAUUGCGAAGGCAGCUCACUAAAGUGUAACUGACGCUGAGGCACGAAAGCGUGGGGAUCAAACAGGAUUAGAUACCCUGGUAGUCCACGCCCUAAACGAUGAUUACUCGCUGUUAGCGAUAUACAGUUAGCGGCUAAGCGAAAGCGUUAAGUAAUCCACCUGGGGAGUACGGUCGCAAGAUUG
rnacentral:rRNA from 1 species